GGGGAUGCCAGCUGGGAGCCCUGGCCCAGUGCGGCCUGUGUCUGUGGAGGCCCCAAGAAGGUGUCCUUAGUUCCUGAGCUGGGCCAUCCCCAUGACCCUGACCCAGGUGCCCUGAUACCCAAAUGGGCCCUGCUCUCCCCAGGACCUGGCACCCUGGGGCUUGAAGCAUGGCAUCCAUGGAUAAGUCCUGGCCCUACUACCCCUGUGCUCAAGCUGGUCCAUGGGAAGUUGGCUCCACCCCCUUUCUCUUCUGAGCUCCCUGGUGGUCAAGGAGCACAAGAUGGCCCUCUGGAGUGGCCAUUCGGUCUAUCUGUUCAUAUGAUCCAGAAACAUUGGGGCAGCUGCCAAGGGCCCCUGCUGGGAGGUAUCGAGUGCCUUCAGAGGGCUUUACUUUCAGACAGUACCAGUCAGAGAAAUUCAGAACUGACCCCAACUCCAAUUUCAACCUUGACCUUAACCCUAACCCCAGAUCCAGCCUUGGCCUCAGUCUGCUAGCCCAGCCUGCCUGGGGCAUGCUUCCAGUGGCUUUCUCAUCCCAGCUGCUGUUCAAGCCAUUUUGUCCACCCUGAGUGCCCCCACUCACACCUGCACACUGCCAAGUCCAGCCUCUUCCCACCUCCUAUUUUAGACAAGAGUACCCAGGCCAAGAGAGACAUGCGACUUGUCCAAGGCCAUGGAGAGUCAGGGCAGCAUGGCCUGGGGCAGGAUGUCCCUUUCCCAGGAGGCCAGCUCUUCAUUCCCUGGAGAAAUGGGUUAAGGGUCCACAAGGCCCUGGACCAGAGCCCAGCACUCUAGGAGCUGGUGACAGUUCCCUGCCAGAGCAGGUUCGGAGGGGAGGCAGAGUGUGCCAAGGUUUCAGCUUUUUGACAGCUGUUCUCAGUGGGAGGGGUGCUCGGGGACUGGCCCCAGUCUUGCUGACUGAGCCUCAGUAAAUGGGGUCACUCUGCAGCCCCGCCCACAAACCGGCCACGUGCCUCUGAGGAGACAGGCGGAGAGCAGCCGAGCCCGGCAGACGUGGUCGGGGCGUCCAUGGCACGGCUGUGGUCCUGCCUCCUGCCAGAUGGAGGCUGGUGCUGAGAAGAAGGCCGCCCAGGCGGGACAAACCCCAGCACCUCCCUGUGACAGGGGAAAUCUAGUGGUUCCCAAGCAGCCACCUGCCGCCCCACUGCAACCGGAUCCCAGGGGCUCAUUCUCAAAUGCAGAUUCCCAGACCCUCGCAGGGCUGGGCCAGAGCCCAGGAAUCUGUGUUUGCAGCUUCCCAACCCCCAGGCUCUGAGCAGUGCUUGCCUUGCUGCCUCCAGAGGCCUGGCCAGCAUCAGGGUCUCCGGCGGGGCCUUCACCUUUCUGCAGAGGCCGCCUCCCUGUGCUCCUGGCUCCAGGGUCACAACCCCUUGCUGACCCUUCCUGGGCCAUAUUCUGCAGAAAAUCAGCCUGAGGCCAACCCUGUGGUCUUGUGCCCUCCCCUCCCCCCGCUUCCCUCUCAUCCAUCGUCUAUCCACCCAAAGCCCACCACCCCCACAGCACUUGUCCCCUGCCAUUGACCUCCCCUGACUUGGCGGCUGUGUGUCCUGGGCCCGCCUCCCAGCCACCACCAUGGCCACCGCCCGGCUCCCCGCCCGUCGGCCAGGGGCGGCCACUGGGCAAGGCUGUCAUUUUCCCUGCUGGAGAUUAUAGGUUUGGGGCUGAGGGAGUCUGAGCUGGAGGAAGAAGAGUGGGGACUCUUGCCCUGGUGCCAGUCCUGAGAGACACCUCACGGGUAGGACAGCCUGGUGUGAAGUGCUCUUUGGGGCAGGAUGGGGAUUCCUAUAACCUGACGUCACCCCAGCUCUGAGUGUGCAGGUGUACGUGGAUGGGUUCACCUCUCAAAAGGGUCAGACAGUCUCUCAUGCUCACUGAAUUUAGUUCUCCCAGCAGUUCUGCAAAGCAAGCCCAACUCAUUUCCCAGAGAGAAAAGACAGAACUCAGAAAGGGCAGUGCACUGGCCUGGGUCACACAGCAGGUUAGGGCAGAGCCAAGACUCUGCCUACCCUUGCUCUCGUUUGCUGCCUGGUUUGGUACUCUCUCUGCCCCGCCCUCACCCAUCCUCCCAUCUAUGAGGGCAGGGAGCAGGAGACUUGCUGGGAGAUCACAGCCUCCAAGAGGGGCUGCCCACCUGCUAGGUCGCCCAUCCAAUGGCAGGGGGUGGCGGCACCCAGCCCGCUGCUGAGGAAGGCUCUGCGGAGCAAGGUUUGGGAAGAAAGCAUGCAUCCCUUUUCUGCUCUGCCCUCACAGUGCCCCCCCCCCAGAGCUGGGUGUGGAAGGGACAGUUUGAGUCAGACUCAAGAGUGUCAGAAGCUGGAAACAUCUUGUGGGUGUGCAGAAACUGGAAACAUCUCGUUGUUCACAGCUGCGGGAACUAGGAUGGGGUUUCACACCAGUGGGGUGACCCCAACCAGACCCAGACCUGGGUCCCCUCGUUAUCUCCUCUGGGGGUAAUGCAGUGAGCAUCUGUGUGCCCAAGAACCCCAAAGGUUUGAGGAUUUGAGGGAACACGGUGGAGGGGUUCUCAAAACAGGCUCUGGAAUCAGACUCUGGAAAUAGACUGUGGAAUCAAAACAGACUCUUGGAAUUCCCGUCGUGAUGCAGCAGAAACGAAUCCAACUAGGAACCAUGAGGUUGCGGGUUCAAUCCGUGGCCUUGCUUGAUGGGUUAAGGAUCCGGCGUUGCCGUGAGCUGUGGUGUAGGUCUCAGACUCGGCUUGGAUCUGGCAUUGCUGUGGCUGUGGUGUAGGCCGGCAGCUGUAGCUCCGAUUGGGCCCCUAGCCUGGGAACCUCCCGGUGCUGCUGGUGCAGCCCUUAAAAGCAAAACAAAAAACAAAAAAAGCAGACUCUUGCUGGGUUGCUGGGCUGAAGUCACAGAACUUCUCUGAGGCUUGCCUCCAUGUGAUGUGUGUUUGAACGAGACAAACCUUAAACACUUAGUAUAGUACGAGAUAUGUGGUAAGUUCAAGGGAUGUUUACUAGCAUCCUCCUUCUCAGUUCUGUAGGUGCUAACAGGUCCUGUUCCCCGCCUUCUAAGCAGUGAGGACCAGGGCGUGAGGGCUGGCAGUUCGGUGGGACCCACUGGAUGGUAACUUGUGCCUGGUGGGGCUUCCCCAAGGCCUGGUUGCUCUGGAGCCAGCAUUUCUGAUAAGCAGAACCAGGCCCCCCCUAGACUGGCAACCACUCCCAGGGCUGAGCUGGCCAGAUCACUGGCUACCUGAGGAACCUCUGCAGAGCUAAUGCAUAGGUGGCCAGGUCACCUGGGCCAGCCCCAGGAACAGAGGCCGUGGAGAGGCCUGCCUGUUCUUGGGAAUUCACGGCAUGUCUGCCUGUCACAAGUGCCUCGAUAUGCAAGAUUUGUGGACGAGCCUUGCAAUUCUGUUUUCUCUGAGGGUUAUAAAUCAGCUGUAUGCACACCCUGGAUGCCACCCAGCCUGAGGCGCACACACAUGUACACUCCCAUCCACGCAUGGAAACACAGUCCAGACCCUACCCGCUGUUCCCCAGGGUGGGAGAAGGUGCUCCCCUGGGAGCUGAGCCCUAAGAAGGGAAAAACUCAGGCCACCAACUGCUGCCUGGCCUUACCAAAUACCAGAACCAUCCAGAAUCAAGGACUCAAGACUGAGGCAGGAUGUCCCAGUGGUCGGAGAAACAGCAUACCAUAGAAGUCAUUAGUGUGAACAUAGGGGGCCUCCCUGGCUGGGUCCAAACCUUGGCCCUGUAACUAUGCCCCUGAACAUAUUGCUUCUGGAACUCGGUGCCUCGGUUUCCCCAUCUGUGAAAUGGAGCUAAUUAUAGCAUGAAUGUCCUAAGAUGGUUAAGAAAAUAAAAUAAAUAAAUGUGUGUAGAAAGCUUAAAACAGGACAGGCUCAGGAAGGUUUGGCUCUCAUCACCAUUAAGUAAGGGUAUAUCUAGAUUUUGCCGUCACACCAGGGCUUGAAUUCCAGCUCUGCCUCUAGCUGUAUGAACUUGGCAAUGCUACUGAGCUCACCUGUAAAAUGGACUAUUACUACCUACUUCAUCGGGCUGUUCUGGCCUUAAAGGAGAUAAAGCUUAUAAAGGAUGCAAUAUCAGAUCCUCAGGAGACAUCAGCCAGUGCCCUGAUGUGGAAUGUAGGGACUGGAGCCUGUGACGGUAGCUUGGCUCCAGGGCGUCUUCCUGGGGAAUGUUUAGUUGGGGGGGGCGGAGCAGGGAGUGGGGUGGAGGGGAGUGGAAGGGAGAAUUCCAGGAACCUCUGUCUUCUCUUCAGCACCAGGGGAGUAAACCAAUAGCCAGAGCGACUUUCCCCUCCCUGCCCCUGUCCCUCCAUCCACCCCUCCCCUGAGAACAGGCUCGGAGACUGGCAGGUGUGACUCACGGCUCUGCCAUUCACUUACUGGGUGGCCUUAGGCAGGUCACUUGACCCCUCCAAUUCCCUCCAGCUAGGAAUAAUUGUGCCCACUUCCCCCAGCAACUGGAGAGAGAGUUAAAUGAGAGUGCCUGUGGGACCCUUAGCGCUGCGCUGGGCUAAGUGCUCUGCAGAUUCGAUUCUAUCACCAGCCCCUCUUGCCUCCUUUGCUCUCAUUCUCCCCCUCACACUCCACCCCUCCCACACCUGAUGUGGAUGGCAUCUUCCCAGGCCAGACGUUUAAAUAUUCCUCUCUCCGGGAAGAUGAGCUCUAAAACCCCAGAGGCGCCUCUGGAGCCACUUGAGCAAGCCUGGAUAGAGGGAGUUGACCUCAGAAAUUCAGACCCGCUGUCCUGUGAUGCAGUUCCCCUGUGCUAGCCACAGGAGGCUGAACAUGUUGGACAUGCGGCCUGGCCUUGCUGGACUACUGGCCACCCACCCCGGAGCCUCUGCUGCUCCCUCGAGGCCCUGGCAAAUGCAGGCUUGUUUCCAGGCUGUUGCUGGCAUUUUUACCUGCUCAGCCAUAAAGCCCUGGAAAGCGGUGAUCUGGGGAUGAGUAGCUGCUUGCACAAAUGCAGGGGGGGAGAGACGGGGACCGGUGCCCACAUUUUUGCAGAGCUGACAUUUUUGCACCUCUCCCACCCAGCACACUGCCUGGGAGAGCGGGAUGGUGACGGCUUGGCUGUGGAUAAUUGUCGGGAGCAUCCCAGGCCAAGCCUUGGUCUCCCAGCAGAACUUUGGAGGCUGGACUUCUCUGUUGUCAGGGAAACCAGUGUGUUCCCUGGAAAGGAAACCACAGCGCCUUUGGCUGUCUACACCCUCCUCCCUCCCCCACCAAAAAAAAAAAAAAAAA
rnacentral:lncRNA from 1 species